rnacentral:rRNA from 1 species
AGUGAACGCUGGCGGUAGGCCUAACACAUGCAAGUCGAACGGCAGCACAGUAAGAGCUUGCUCUUACGGGUGGCGAGUGGCGGACGGGUGAGGAAUACAUCGGAAUCUACUUUUUCGUGGGGGAUAACGUAGGGAAACUUACGCUAAUACCGCAUACGACCUACGGGUGAAAGUAGGGGAUCUUCGGACCUUGCGCGAUUGAAUGAGCCGAUGUCGGAUUAGCUAGUUGGCGGGGUAAAGGCCCACCAAGGCGACGAUCCGUAGCUGGUCUGAGAGGAUGAUCAGCCACACUGGAACUGAGACACGGUCCAUACUCCUACGGGAGGCAGCAGUGGGGAAUAUUGGACAGUGGGCGCAAGCCUGAUCCAGCCAUACCGCGUGGGUGAAGAAGGCCUUCGGGUUGUAAAGCCCUUUUGUUGGGAAAGAAAAGCAGCAGGUUAAUACCCCGCUGUUCUGACGGUACCCAAAGAAUAAGCACCGGCUAACUUCGUG